AGUUAUCUGUUAUAUAUCGACUCAGAUGAAUAUUCUAUUAUUUAGAUGUACAAUAUAAGGAAAAUACUAGAAAAUUAUGUCAAUUUUAUAUGAUAUAAUCAAGAAGUUCUAUUUCUGUGGAAGGAUUACAUAUGAUACAUUGAACAAAAUUUAAUUAUACUACACAAUUCAUAUUAUUUCUACGGAAAAGGAAUCUUAACCUCACAAAUAAGGAAUUUUAUCCAUUAUCAACUUAAGUAGUAAGUAGCCCUCUUAGACGAUUAUGAUUAAAUAAAAGUUUAAAAUGAAGAACAAGACUUAAAGACUGAAAAUAGGAUGCGCCUAUACGAAGCCAAAGUCUGAUUGAGGAUAUUUUUAAUUACCUUUAUAGUAAAUUAUCGAAAAACUGUAGUGGUAAAUCAUUCGGUGGAAUAAAAAGAAAAAAACACCAAGAUUGAUGAAAACGUCAGAAACUUCAUUCGCGGACAAGUUUAUGAUUCAUACAAACAAAAUAAAAUUCCGACAAAGGAAUAAAGGUUAAAAAUACAUCUGCGUUUGUGUUUUUAACAAACGGUUUUCAUCACGAAAAACUAUAAUUAGGACGUUAUCAACGAAAACUCAAAGAAAUAUACAUAAAGUCAACAUACAACAUCAAAAGAUUGAAAAAUGUGAUGGUGUGAUGCGUUAAAAAGAGACAUAAUAUAGAGUGAUUGUGAAUUCUUAUGUAGUCGUUUCGAGUUCCAAUAAACAACAAUAUAUGUCUAUAAUGAACAGAGUAGCAAGAAACAAGCAUUAACCACAGAUUUUUUAACGAUCCACUUGAAUAUUAAUUUUUUACAACUUUACAACUAACAAAAUUCGCCAGAAGAUCUAAAGUAUGAGGUUAUGUGUUCUUAAACGGUGAAUAAAAUUUAAGAGUACUUUUGUUCAUAAAGUGUUGAAUUUAAAAAGUUUUGAACGUACAAAAAUGUUUUAAGUAAUCCAUAAAAUAGGAAAGAAUUAUACUUUUUUCUUGAAAACCACGGCGUAUGUUGUAGAUGAUAAUUGAAUAAAUAUGUCCAAACUG